rnacentral:rRNA from 1 species
AUUGAACGCUGGCGGCAUGCCUUACACAUGCAAGUCGAACGGCAGCACGGGUGCUUGCCCCUGGUGGCGAGUGGCGAACGGGUGAGUAAUACAUCGGAACAUGUCCUGUAUUGGGGGAUAGCCCGGCGAAAGCCGGAGUAAUACCGCAUACGAACUACGGAUGAAAGCGGGGGACCUUCGGGCCUCGCGCUUUAGGGUUGGCCGAUGGCUGAUUAGCUAGUUGGUGGGGUAAAGGCCUACCAAGGCGACGAUCAGUAGCUGGUCUGAGAGGACGACCAGCCACACUGGGACUGAGACACGGCCCAGACUCCUACGGGAGGCAGCAGUGGGGAAUUUUGGACAAUGGGCGAAAGCCUGAUCCAGCAAUGCCGCGUGUGUGAAGAAGGCCUUCGGGUUGUAAAGCACUUUUGUCCGGAAAGAAAACCUUGGCCCUAAUACGGUCGGGGGAUGACGGUACCGGAAGAAUAAGCACCGGCUAACUACGUG